rnacentral:rRNA from 1 species
UACGUAGGGACCAAGCGUUGUUCGGAUUUACUGGGCGUAAAGGGCGCGUAGGCGGCAAUUCAAGUUACUUGUGAAAUCUCUGAGCUUAACUCAGAACGGUCAAGUGAUACUGCUUUGCUAGAGUGCAGAAGGGGCAACCGGAAUUCUUGGUGUAGCGGUGAAAUGCGUAGAUAUCAAGAGGAACACCGGUGGCGAAGGCGGGUCUCGUGGGCCGAAACUGACGCUGAGGAGCGAAAGCAUGGGUAGCAAACAGG